CGCUUAAUCUCCGAAGUCUGGGGAACGGGGGAACCGAUACUGCUGUGCAUGGGAAACUGCCGUGCACGAGCCGUAUAUGAUUUCUUUAUCGGGUCUUUGGGGUGAAUGUGAAGGUCCUCGCCAUGAGCGGGCGACCGGAUCUAGGGCGUCUCUCUUACGUCCGAACCCGACAGCUAACUCCGUAAGCGAAGUAAGAGGGGAA
rnacentral:sRNA from 1 species